rnacentral:tRNA from 1 species
UAGAAAGUGGUGUAGUGGUAGCACUAGGAGUUUUGAUCUCCUGAGGAGAGGUUCAAAUCCUCUUUUUCUAA